UAUCAAAUUAUGUGAAGACAAAAACAGUAUACUAAUUAUUGGAUAUGGCGGCCAUUUAGGGCAGAGAUUUAUUCUCAAGAUAGAGUAGAUAGUUCUCUCUGUUGCUCGUACUGACUCUAGUGAGAGUGCUGAGAAGGAGUACCACAGCUAUACCAAUUACAGUAGGCCUUGUCAGUACUUAGAGUUGGAGAAGUUACAGUAGAGUUGGAGAAGUUACAGUAGGCCUUGCAGGUACUUAGAGAUGGAGAAGUUACAGUAGCCCUUGCAGGUAUUUAGAAUUGGAGAAGUUACAGUAGGCCCUACAGGUACCUGGUACUUACGAGUUUGAGAAGUUACAGUAGGGCCUGCAAAUGGGGAAGGCAUACCACCAUGCUAUGUCGAUAAUAAACCUGAACUGUUACCAUGGAAAUCUGUAAUACAGAAGCGAAGUACCAGAUUUGAUAUUUAAGAGUUCAGUUUAAAUGGACAAACUUUUCCUCCAUUGAAGACAGGUGAUUGCAAAAUUAGUCGCAAAUCGCUAGUCAUUUUUUACUAUAUAUUGACAAAAAUAUUGAAAUAGGCUAAAAAUAUGAACAAAAAUAAAGAAAAAUUACUUUGCUCCACCGUUCACGGACGUAUGCUCAGGGGUUGGGAGGGGGCCCCUGUUUUCACCCCCUACCCCUCUCCCCAGCUUCUGGAUAUGCGCCUGCCCAAUAUGCUUUUAAUUCUAAAUUUUUAAGUUUUGAAAUUUUAAACUAAAGUAUAAUUAUCAAGACCCUGAAGAACAGAAAUUUGUUUGACCUUAGCCAAUAAAAAGGCUGCUUUCUUAAAGGGACAAUAACACUCUUGCUGGCUUGAAAGCUCCAGAAAAUAAAAAAUAUCUCUAUCUAAGUACUAGAUGUUUAAGUGUCCUACCUGUUGUGUAAAUUAUCCAUUACAUCCUAUUUUACUUGUCCAGAGGGUUCGAAAAUAUUUUUAAAUCGAAGUUUCAUUUGAAAAGGUUUACGUUAGACGUUUCAAACCAUUCUGUUGAAUUUUUCAAAAUUUUUAAAUAAGGUGUGUUAAGAUGAAAUUUGUAUCAUCAAUUAAUUGGAAUAUUGUAAAAUAGUACAAUUUGUUGACCAGAAUAAAGAUUGGGGCAUAUUAUUCAGUUACAACAAGAGUGGUAUUGAGACUUUAAAGUGGUGUAAGAUAUAGAUAAAGAGCUGAUAGUUCUCGUUAUAAUAAUUACAAACUACAUAACUUAAACAGAAUAUGCUGAAAAUUUCAGUCAAAUGGCUUCACUCUGAACCAAGUAUUACCUUUUGAAUUUUGGGCUAGCCUGAAUCAUCAUUACUAAGUCAGUACGAUAAAAACCAAAGUCUCAAUUAUCCAUUUUUACGUUUAAUCAUCCUUCACAAAAUGUAUUCCAAUCCGCUAAAUAUCACAGGCUAGCGAUGACAUAGAGAGUUGAUUAUGGUCUGGAUAAGUUAAUUAAUGUCUAAUUAAUAAGUUAGAUAACAUUUCAGGCCUAACAGAAAGACCUGCAAUAGGCAUAUUUAGCUCUUGUAUAAUGUAUGUUUAAGAUAACUGUUGCAAACUACUACAUUUGUGAAAGGUAGAUCUCUAAUAGGAAUAUCCAUCCAAGAAUUGUUCAAUUUCAAUUUUAUUUAGUAUGAAACUUUCAUUGAUCUAUACUGCUCGCUAUGUAAUAAGCCUGGGAACAGAAUUGACAGGCCUGUCUUUAAUCCAAUUGAAUCCAAGUUAGGAGAUUAGUAUUUUGAUUUUAUUUCUUAAUUAAAUGUUCUGACAGCUGUCUAGUCAUUCGGAUGGGAUGGAAAACCGAGUUACCGUGUACACAUUGGCGUGCACGUAAAAGAUCCCUUGACAGUUGGAAUUCGAUACAAGAGUAGGCUGUAGUGCCGCUCAUCCGGGCAGAAUUUCACUCCUAGCACACUAUGGCAUAGGCCUGUCUUUAUUAGCCCAGUUCGGAGCAGAACUGUUAAAUGUUAAAUUAUCAGUAUAUUUUCUUCAUUAAAGAUACAUUAUGUAAGAUUUAGAUAAAGAACUAGCCGUUCUCGCUAUAAUAGUUCGACAGUAGAUGAUGUAAAAUGAAUAAUUUAAAAAUUUCAUUCAAAUUACUCUAUUGCAAGCAAAGAUAUUAGCCUUUGAAGGUUUGACAGACGUGUGCAAUAAUUUCAACCACCGUACUGGUUGAUCAAAGCUAAGUCUCGGUCCUCCAUAUUUGAUUAAAUCAAAGUAUCGCUGAACCAUUCUAAUCUAUUUAAUAUUGGAGAAAUCUGAUGCCAUCGAGAGUUGAUUAAGGCCUGGAUCAGUUAAUUAAUGUCUAAUUAAUACUUUAGAAAACAUUUCAGGCCUAAAGAAAGAUCUGCAAUAGGUAGUUUUAGCUCUUGCAUAAUGCAUGUUUAAAUGUUUAUUUAUCAAUCGGAUUAUAUAAUACGUAGAUUAAAGAGAAAUUUGAUAUUUUCCGAGAAAAUGCAAAUCGUGCAUCAUUAGUUUAAAGCUCAGAAGAGAACAGUCUGAUUAAAACACAGAUCCAAUUUUGUUUCGUUUUUAUAGUUCAAAACGUCGAUUUUACUUGUCUUUACUACACAUGGAUGUGGAAGCGUUGUUAUUUAACUAGUGUUCUGCCUGAAAUGAGGGGUCAGCCAAUCAAAUGGUCUGUCGAAUCGAGCGUUUGACCUUUUUUGCACGGAUCUGUGGGGAGACAUUAGCGGCAAUAGAAAUCAAAACAAAGCAAAAGUAGAUAAAAAAUACAUGGCGGUCGCUAAUUGGUUAAUCGAAUGGAAUAAUACUAGAUCAUUGUGUCAUCUGGAGAAUAUCUUUUCAAGGUUAGGGUUCGGGUUAGGUUUAUAAAUUACAUGUCAAACGUACAAAUUGAAGCUGUAACAACGGUGGAUUGUGGCUAAAACUAUUCUGAAGGGUUAGGGUUAGAAUUGUGGGUAUAAACACUGACAGAUAUUCUACAGAUCGGUCAAGAUCCAGUAGCGUGCAAUCGAAUGACUGACAUAAUCAGGAUAAAUGUCGCUUGCUUGGUACCUGACGUCAUAGAACGUGAACUCCCACUAUAACUUGUUAGAUCUACAUGUAGUGUAGGCCAUCGAAAGUAUAAAAAAACGAAACGAAAUAUAGAUCUGUAGUUUAAUCAGAUUGAAUUAAGUCUUGUCAAUACUUUGGUUAUUUUGAGACUAACAAAUGUUAUUUUUUCUUAUUAUAAAUUCGUACUUUCCACAAAAAUGUCCUAGUUAUUGGAUUGGAGAACUUGAUAAAAUUUGGUUGGCCAUCUCGAUAUCAUUUGGCUAGUCAUCUAGAUAUAAUUUGGCUGGACCACUCAAUAUCAUUUGGCUGGACCACUGUAUGGCGUAUGCCUGUCUUCAUUAGCCCAGUAUAGGAGCAGAACAGUAGGAAGUUAAACCCCAUUUCAUUUCAUUUUAUUUCUAACCAGGGACAUACCAACAGAUUUUCUUGGGGCUCCCAUCAGUAACAGAUGACGCCUUGAGAAUGAAAAAUGAAUUAAUUUCCCACACACCUAUAACAUAUUAUUUUUCUCUGUGGAUUAUCACAUUUUUUAUUUAAGUGAUUAUCAUUGUUUUUGAUCCUUUGUUUCUGAUUGCCUGAAUUCAGUGAAUAGUUCCCAUAUCUUUGUAGUCUACAAAGUACGAGCGAAUUAUUAUUUUAAUUGUCUCGACAUGGUCUUUAGUUCUUUUGUUUUUGCUUUCCUGAAUUUCAGUGAAUAGUUCCUGAAUUCUUGUGUCUUUAUGUAGUUUGCAAUGUGAAAGUGUUUUUGUCGGUGGAUGUUGGCUAGAUUUUUUCUUUUUUUUGUGAUCUGAAAAAAAUAAAAUGUAUAGAAACCA